UCUACCUCACGGAACAUCACGGUUACCAUGGAAGCAUUGUUUUGUUUGUGUGAUUGAGAUUUGAAUCUAGGGAGUCAAGAUUCCAAAGCGGUGAAACCCCAAAAAUAAUUACAAAACAGAAACUGAUAUUCCGCUAAUCUAAGCUGCAGAAAAAAACUGCUCAAAAGACACCUAGUCCAUAUUUCGAACACCCAGUGACCGCAUCAAGACCAACACAGUGCAUUAAUGACCAUCCAUUCUUUUCAGCAGCGUUGAUUCAGAAGUAUUUUUUCAAAUAUUUUUUUUCCAUAGGGACUUUAACAAAGCAUUAUGAACAGCUACGAGGUGAAUCACAACAUUGCAAACUUUUAUUUGACAAAAAGGUACAAGACUGUGUACUUAGAACUACAAUCCCAUGAAGCAUUAUGAAUGACAAUCGAAUUAAAAACGAUGGUGAAAUAUAAAACUACUCAUUGAAAUCUGUUGAUCUUAUCUAUAGAAACCAUCAUUUAUUUCAGUAUUUUGAGUGCACAGGAGACCAAGCUCCUUUGGUGUGAUUUGCUGGCCGCAACUCUCUGAUUGGUGGAAUUUUAUGCACAGCAUCAUGGGUAAUGUGGUUUCUCACCACAAAUCCUGCUGUUAAACAUGAUUUUAAAAAAGCUCACAACAGGUCAGUCUUUAAAAGUUAUUGUUAAAAAUCGAUUUCCCUAUUGAGAAGUUUUCACACUGAACGCGACCGUUGCACUUUAUAAUGAAUGUUAUUACGCAUUAUGCACAAGCAAACACAUGUACAACCACAAAUUUUAUAGUUUGUCUGUGAGCAUAAAUGUUUUGAAGCACUGCCCAGCUGUUGCAUGUGUUAGUGUACACACACGCUGUGGGCAUGUGUGUGUGUGUUAUGAAGCCGUGCCCUGUGGCUCGUGGCCCCGUGGGCUGUGCUGUCCCAAACAGAUGGGCUGUGGCAGGGUGGAGCAGCAGUCUCCUAGAACUAAUCCACUCAGACAGGUGUGUGAGUGUGUGUGAGGGUUCAUGUAGGUAUGUUGUUAUGUUGGCAGGUGGAGACAUGCUCUACUUUUGCACUAAUCCUAUUUGACAGGCCGAUGUCUGUCUGUCUGUGUGUCUGUCUGUGUG